GACGAACGCUGGCGGCGUGCUUAACACAUGCAAGUCGAGCGGUAAGGCCCUUUCGGGGGUACACGAGCGGCGAACGGGUGAGUAACACGUGGGUGACCUGCCCUCAGCUCUGGGAUAAGCCUGGGAAACCGGGUCUAAUACUGGAUAUGACUCCAUGACGCAUGUUGUGGGUGGAAAGCCUUGUGCGGCUGAGGAUGGGCCCGCGGCCUAUCAGCUUGUUGGUGGGGUGAGGCCUACCAAGGCGACGACGGGUAGCCGGCCUGAGAGGGCGACCGGCCACACUGGGACUGAGACACGGCCCAGACUCCUACGGGAGGCAGCAGUGGGGAAUCUUGCGCAAUGGGCGAAAGCCUGACGCAGCGACGCCGCGUGAGGGAUGACGGCCU
rnacentral:rRNA from 1 species